rnacentral:rRNA from 1 species
AUCGAACGCUGGCGGCAGGCCUAACACAUGCAAUUCGAACGAGUGGCGGACGGGUGAGUAAUGUCUGGGAAAAGGCUUGAGGGAGGGGGAUAACUACUGUAAACGGUAGCUAAUACCGCAUACCAUCACAUGUGCCCAGAUGGGAUUAGCUUGUUGGUGGGGUAACGGCUCACCAAGGCGACUAUCCCUAGCUGGUCUGAGAGGAUGACCCGCCACACUGGGACUGAGACACGGUACAGAUACCUACGGGAGGCAGCAGUAGGGAAUAUUGCAGAAAGGCAGAAAGCCUGAUGCAGCGAUGCAGCGUGUAUGAAGAAGGCCUUCGGGUUGUAAAGUACUUUCAGCGGAGAAGCGUUAGCAGCAGAAGAAGCACCGGCUAGCUCAGUGCCAGCAGCCGCGGUAAUAC